rnacentral:lncRNA from 1 species
UGUUCCAACUUUUUCAUUUUAAUCAAAAUACUUUCUCAACCUCUCUCCUUUCCUUCUAUUUUUGUCACUUUUCCAAACCCUAAAUUUAUUGUACAAUUGUCCAUAUAUAUAGCUUGAUAUAUUGCUGAUUAAAUUUGGGCAAUAUUUUGAGAUCUGUCGAACUGAUAAAGUAAGAAAUUUAAAGAUUAGAGAAUCAUUCGGAAUCAAACUGAUAGGUAUAAAUUUAUAUAUGUUUAUAAAUACUAGUUGAGAGUACAUGCAAAUAUACGUAAUGAUUAUUUUAAUAGUUAUCUUAAAUCAACAUAAAUUUUUGGAUCGUAUUUGUUCAAAAGUUUAUAAUUAUUAAUUUUUAAUUAACCCGGUUAG